rnacentral:rRNA from 1 species
UACGUAGGGGGCAAGCGUUGUCCGGAUUUAUUGGGCGUAAAAGGCUUGUAGGUGGCCACGCCAAGUCGGAUGUGAAAUCUCCCGGCUCAACUGGGAGGGGUCAUUCGAUACUGGCGGGCUCGAGGCCGGUAGGGGGAAGUGGAAUUCCCGGUGUAGUGGUGGAAUGCGUAGGUAUCGGGAGGAACACCAGUGGCGAAGGCGGCUUCCUGGACCGGUUCUGACACUGAGGAGCGAAAGCGUGGGGAGCGAUCCGG